rnacentral:rRNA from 1 species
AUACGUAGGUGGCAAGCGUUAUCCGGAUUUAUUGGGCGUAAAGAGUGAGCAGGCGGUUAAUUAAGUCUGAAGUGAAAGCCUGGAGCUCAACCCCGGAAAGGCUUGGGAAACGGUUUGAUUGGAGUGCGGUGAAGGGAAGGGGACUUCCUGGUGUAGCGGUGAAAUGCGUAGAUAUAUGGAGGACCACCAGUGGCGAAGGCGCUUCACUAGCCCGAAACUGACGCUCAGUCACGAAAGCGUGGGUAGCAAAUAGGAUUAGAUACCCUAGUAGUCCACGCUGUAAACGAUGACAACUAAAUAUUGCCGCGAGGCAGUGUUGAAGCUAACGCAUUAAGUUGUCCGCCUGGGGAGUACGGUCGCAAGACUGAAACUUAAAGGAAUUGGCGGGG